AUGGAAAACUGGACUGAUGGUGUAGUUGGAAUGGUGCUCCCCAAAACUGGAAAAGAAGUUGUUUUGAAACUUAAACAAGGAGAUGUCAUACCUGUGCCUAUUGGAGCUAUUUCAUGGUGGUUCAAUGAUGGUCACUCAAACCUUAAUAUUAUAUUUCUUGGUGAAACUUCAACUGCUCAUGUUCCAGGACAAUUCACUUAUUUUUUUCUUAACUGGUCUUCAAGGACUUUUAGGAAGUUUCUCUAG